rnacentral:lncRNA from 1 species
UAGCUCUGUUCAUAGUCUAGACCAUCGGAACAGGUUUAUAAUUUGUGCUUUGUGCUGGUUUUUCAUGAUAGUGUGGGCAAAUCAGCUCAUAGGGAGUUACACUAACUUUGUGUUUGCAUGUAUUUGUAUUUUUAUUUCCCUUGACCUUAGCAAGUUUAAGGAUUCAAUUUAAGAGAAAAACUCCCUAAGUGAAGGUAACAUACUGUGAAUGAUUCAAUUUAGGCUUAAAGGGGUGGCAAACCAAUGGGGUC